GCAGUGUGUCAGAUAUAAAUAUCAAAAACAACCUGAUUAUUCAAGGACAUCAGAAAACCUUCAGUGUGUAAGCAGGGAUCAUUUGUAUUAGAGGUUUUCUUGCCAGAUGCCCUUCCUGAUGCAACCCUGCCAUUUUAUUCAAGCUUUGGGCCGACACCAAGAGUUAACCCCUCACUGGUUGGGUUGGUUCUUUGCCUGGGAAUCAAACCUGGGCGAGAGCUCGGGAUCCUGCCACUGGACCACCAGAGUAAUUGAUGGAGGACGAUGGGAUGACAUCUGGCCUGUGCCAAGCAGCUAAAGGAGGAAGAAACAGUUUGUGAAGCAUCUGCAGUCUCCAGCAGCCACAAGUCACGCCGCCUUUUCUAAAGAAUAAAAUGGCAGCAAUUAAAAAGCCAUUCGCAUUCCACGUAGGCGAGCUUUACUUACAUCACAGUCAAUCAACGUGGCGUCCGUAUCCUCCAGCACUGUUGACUGGAGGAUAAUGUGAAUUUCUCAAAGUUAGAGCAGACAUUUCAUCUAUUUGCAUAUUAACACUAAUUUCACAGUUAGGAACAUUAACUUUUUCAUUUGGGCUCUGACAUUGAUUUUUACAGUCAGUUACAGCGUUUGUUUUGCAUCAUGGUUCUCCAACCGUUAUGCAGAAUUCAUUCCCAGAGCCACUACACAAUGAGCUUUAUUUUGUCGUUGUUGUUUUUGUUUUGUUUCUGUGUACUGUAUUUAAUUAAACCACAUUAAUUCUGCAUUCCAUCAACAUGAACUAAUGAUUAUUGGGUUCAGAAUGCAUUUACGUUUAAAUUUGUCAUCUUCAGGUAAACAAACAAUGAAACAAUAGAUUUGUAAUCCUACCUGAGCUAAUUAUGUCUCGGUUAAUCUAAUUAAAAUGUUGACUUGAAUGUGGUUUUUAAACUGGCUUUCAAGGGUUUGAGU